GAAUAUUUGAAAGUGUCUAAAAAUAUUUUUUUUAAUUAUCUGUAUUUGUACUCUUGCAUACUUUGUUUUCCAAGUAUUCAAAUGCGUAUAAUAAAUACUUUUGAAAAUAAGUAUCUGUAUCUGUAGUUAAAUACUUUUUAAAAGUAUCUUUUACAAGAAUGAUUUUAACCGCUAACAAAAGAUAUUAACGAUACAUUACUUACUCGGAUUUGUUUUUAUUUAAAACAUAUACAUUCUACACCCAUUAAUACUUACAUCUACUCAGUUAUAAUAUAUGAAACAUUUUACGAUUUUUAAUUCAAACCCUUUGCAUAUUUUUAAAUUAGUUCAUCUAAUAUUUAAAACAAUAGUAUUAUUUUUAGUUUGAGAAAUGACAAGAUGUGACGGUAUAGCAAGGAGAAACGUGUAAAGUCCAAAUGGAGGGUCAAUUAAGAGCAACUGAAAGGGAGAAAUUGGAUGAUUAUUACGGAUACAUACGACAAAUAUUUCUUGUAUUUAAUGAAAAAAUAUUUUUUUUGAGAAACUCGUAACAACGUAUUAGAGCAAUACCUAAUAAUAAUAUAUAUAUAGCAUAAAACCAGUGUCUGGAACGUUCACCGAAAAAUUGAAUUCGUUUGCAUUCAUUGUUUAAAAAAGAAACUCGUUCACGUUAAAUUUAAUGAAUCACUUACCUGAAGUCAGUAAUAUUAAACCCGUAAACAUAAUAACAUAAGAAAUAAUAUUUGAAAUUCCUGACGAUUAAAUCUAAAUCUGACGGCGCAGAUGAUAAAGCCACGCACUACCGUACCUUAAUAUUACGGAUGCAUUUUCAUUACGAUAUCGGAUAUAGUUAUGAUAUUAAGUCGAGCCGAGCCCACUGAAAUACCACGUACUAUAUUUUUAAAGUUUAAAAUUAAAUAGCUAUAAAAAACGAGUGACACUCUCGGUCGUUCACUAAUUUACUAAUAAUGAAUUUUUUUUAUAAACACAGCAUAAAACGGAGGAACAUUAAUAAUAAUAUGCAUUAGUCGAUUCGAUGAAUUAAUCAAAUAAUAAAUACAGAAUAAUAAACAACGGUUCAAUACCAAAUAUCCAAAUCCGAAUAGUUUCAAGUUUCUAUUACACUGUUCGUGAAGUACGUCAUUAGAUACUUACUUCCCAUGAAGAUAACAUUGUUUGAUGGCGUAGCGUUAGUAUUAUAAAAUGGCAAGUACACGCACAAAAACUAUGUAGACAGUAAUUACCUAAAAUAAUAAUAAUAACAUUUUCAUAGUAUUUUUAUAAUUUUUUUAUUUUAACGAAUCGUUUUAGAAAUUUAUUGAAUGUUACAACAAUUAAUAAUACUUACAAUAAUAAUUAAUAUUAUAUUGUAAAUAGUUGUUUUGUAUAUAGUAUUCAUACAAUUGUUUAAUAUUGUUUUUUGGUACUUAC